ensembl:lncRNA
ACGCUCGUGCGGGGCCGGGAGCGUUGCGGGGCCGGGAGCGCUGCGGGAGCGGUGCCCCUCUCCUCCCCGUUGGGAGCGAACACGCGUUCGAAAGAUUUUGUCGAUAACCAAAAAAAUUAAAGGCAAAAUCCAAACAAAAGCAUCCGACGCGCUCGCUCGGGAAACAUCGGAGCGACGCCGCUCGUUGCGUUCGGUGCGGGGCAUCCUCCGGACCACCGCUCCUCGCCAUCCCGGCCCCGUCGCCGGGGCUCCCCGGGCCCUUCCCGUGCCUCGUCCGUGCUCUGCCCGCCCCGGAGCGACGUGAGGCCGAGCGUCCCGUUGGCCGCGGGGCCUCCGCACCGCUUCCCCCCGACGGCUCCGUAAGGGAUGGGGCCGAGGACGGGAGCGGGUAGCGGGGCACGGCGGGAGGGACUCGGACGAGAGAGGAUCGAAUGAAACGGACGAGGAAAGGGGAAAGUGGGAACAGAAAAACGGGCACGGAGGGGCACCGCACGGCGCUCCGCUGGCGCUGCGCCGGGACAGCUCUGCGAGACCUCCCCGGUCCUUCUGCACAUCUGCGGGCUUUGGGCAUCCUGGUUUUUCUGCGCACCCAGAAUUGCGUUAUAGCAGAAUGUCGUGGGGUUUUGGUUGCUUUCUUUUAUUUUUUUCUUUUCCAUUCUCGCGCGCCUUUUUAGCUUCGUUUGGCCGUUUCAGCAGUUGGGAUGUUUCAUCAUUAGUACUUUUGUGAUGAUUAUUUUACGAUUAUUUUAUUUUGCGGCCCCGACGGCCGACCCCGCUCUACCCCAGCCCCACCGCCGGGGAAGGAGGGGAGUCAGAACGCAGCCGUCAAUCCCCACUCACAAACCCCCCCCGGUUGCGUGCGGAGCGGCGCCCCCUAUAUAGGGGAGGGCGGGAGCGGGGCGGGGCGGCGGCGCUUUGAUGUCCCGCCGGCGGCCCCUUUCAUCCCCCCCCCGUCGGCCCCCCCGGGCCCUUUGUGCGCCUAAAUUUGGCAGGAGCAUGGAGGCGCGCCAGGGCGCCCACGUGUGCGCCGAGCUCCCAGCUGAGCCGGCCCCGGGUUUUCUUCCGGGUAAGGAGACAGCGGGGGAGAUCAAAGAGUUUGGGGAGCCGAAGCCGAAAUGUGCAUGGAAAUAGGGGGAAAUCAUCGCCGUCGUCGUAAUAAAAAUAAGACCCAAAAAAAUCCUGCCGCCUGGACGCGUGCCAGCCCGGAGCCACGGGGGAAAGCAGCGCGCGUGGUGGGGAGGGAGAGGAGGGAUGGAGCGGGUUUUCUCCGAGAGGAAAAAAUGAAAUGAAAUGAAAUGAAAUGAAAUAAAAUAAAAUAAAAUAAAAUAAAAU